GGUGGUUGGUGUAUUGUAUAGUUCUGGAGAUUGGAUUUCACUCAACACCCACCAAAUGACUCCUCCCACAAUAUGAUGAUGUUCCCCAAGUUUUGGACUCAAUCCGAUAUCGAUUGGUCAAUGAAAUCGGACAAUUCAGGUUCGUACGAAGUUCGUUCUGAAAUGGGGUGGUUGGUGUAUUGUAUAGUUCUAGAGAUUGGAUUUCACUCAAAACCCACCAAAUGACUCCUCCCACAAUAUGAUGAUGUUCCCCAAGUUUUGGACUCAAUCCGAUAUCGAUUGGUCAAUGAAAUCGGACAAUUCAGGUUCGUACGAAGUUCGUUCUGAAAUGGGGUGGUUGGUGUAUUGUAUAGUUCUCGAGAUUGGAUUUCACUCAAAACCCCCCGAAUGACUCCUCCCACAAUAUUAUGGUGUUCCCCAAGUUUUGGACUCAAUCCGAUAUCGAUUGGACAAUGAAAUCGGACAAUUCAGGUUCGUACGAAGUUCGAUCUGAAAUGGGGUGGUUGG
rnacentral:lncRNA from 1 species